rnacentral:rRNA from 1 species
AUUGAACGCUGGCGGCAGGCCUAACACAUGCAAGUCGAACGAGUGGCGGACGGGUGAGUAAUGUCUGGGAAACUGGCUGAUGGAGGGGGAUAACUACUGGAAACGGUAGCUAAUACCGCAUACCAUCGGAUGUGCCCAGGUGGGAUUAGGUAGUAGGUGGGGUAACGGCUCACCAAGGCGACGAUCCCUAGCUGGUCUGAGAGGAUGACCAGCCACACUGGAACUGAGACACGGCCCAGACUCCUACGGGAGGCAGCAGUGGGGAAUAUUGCACAAUGGGCGAAAGCCUGAUGCAGCCAUGCCGCGUGAAUGAAGAAGGCCUUCGGGUUGUAAAGUACUUUCGGCAAGGAGGCGUUACCCACAGAAGAAGCACCGGCUAACUACGUGCCAGCAGCCGCGGUAAUAC